rnacentral:rRNA from 1 species
UACGUAGGUGGCAAGCGUUGUCCGGAAUUAUUGGGCGUAAAGGGAGCGCAGGUGGGUUCUUAAGUCUGAUGUGAAAGCCCACGGCUCAACCGUGGAGAGUCAUUGGAAACUGGGAAGCUUGAGUGCAGAAGAGGUAAGUGGAAUUCCAUGUGUAGCGGUGGAAUGCGUAGAUAUAUGGAGGAACACCAGUGGCGAAGGCGACUUUCUGGGC